AAUUUUUUGCUACGACUCCCACAAAUUACCUCUGAAAAUUGAAAAUCCUAUUCUCUCUCACAACUAAAAAAUGUCUCCCAUUCCCUCUCAAAACUGAACCGUGCCUCAUUACCUCUCAAAACCCAUUCUCCGUUCCAAAGCCACGCAACCUUUGUCUUAACUGAACCCUUAUGUCGCCCUUCUGCCUCCACGACGCUACCCCAAACCCACGCCGGCGACUACAAUGGAAUUGUUCAAUGAAGGGAUCUGAAAGAUUAGGGAUGGUCUUAAACUUGCUAAUUUUUCAUUGAAUACCCUCGAUCGUCCUUCACUUGGAAGAACAAGAAAGAAGAAAGGACAAAGAAACUAUUAGUGGUUUUUGUUUAUAUUGCAAUAUGUUGAAGUUCCUGAUCGGAACCAAAAGCUGAUGAGGUCCUGUUAGCGCUCAAUCUCGAAGUUGGUGACAUCUACAAACAAUUUGAACGCGUGACCUUUUGCAUUUGAAUGUUAUGAGUAGCUAGUUUUCAACAUCGAGGUUAUGUACAUUUAUAUACUGUGGACAUGAAAAUAUGCCUCUUUUGUCAUUAACUUUAUUUUAGUAUUUAAAUAUAAUGAUAAUAUUAGAUAUUUGAUAUUGUUUUAGAUAAAUUUGUAUAGUUGGUUAUAUAUAUAUAUAUAAAUAUUUUAAUUG